GCCGGGGUGGCGUAGUUGGUAGCGCGUCGGACUCAUAAUCCGAAGGUCGGGGGUUCAAGUCCCCCUCCCGGCACCA
rnacentral:tRNA from 1 species